rnacentral:rRNA from 1 species
UACGUAGGUGGCAAGCGUUUGUCCGGAAUUAUUGGGCGUAAAGCGCGCGCAGGCGGUCCUUUAAGUCUGAUGUGAAAGCCCACGGCUCAACCGUGGAGGGUCAUUGGAAACUGGGGGGACUUGAGUACAGAAGAGGAAAGCGGAAUUCCACGUGUAGCGGUGAAAUGCGUAGAGAUGUGGAGGAACACCAGUGGCGAAGGCGGCUUUCUGGUCUGUAACUGACGCUGAGGCGCGAAAGCGUGGGGAGCGAACAGG